UCUGUCGAUCUCAGUUCAGAUGAAUUGAGUUAUUUUCUGUAUGAGGUUUUCAUAGAAACUUAGUUAGUUUAAUGAAUCGAAGAAGAUGAAGCUAGAACCGAAGUUGUUUAAGCUUCAGGAGAAGAAGAAGGUGAUGUAAAUCUUGAAUUGAAGUUAGGAUUUCUGAGGUUAGGGCUCGUAUAAAACUGCUGAUGAUAUAGCGUUGCUAAUGGAUGCAGAAUUGAAGGGUUGUUAUUGACUUGAUGAAGUGAAGCUGUUCUGAUGAUGAAUCGAAUUGAAAAGGUUGUUUUACUGAGAGAAGCUUGUAGUAUUGAACACUUAUGCUGGCUGGUUGGUUGCAAUAGUUGUAAUCCACAUAGUGUUACUGCUGAGAUGAUACAAGUGGAUUUGUAAAUGGUGUUUGAGCACCUGUAUCAAAGAUUGGCGAUAAUAUAUGAAGAUGAAUUGGUUACUGUUGGUAGGUUGUGAAAAGAUGUUGGUCAUAAUAUACAAGGGUUUGGUGUUUGUUUGCAAGAGACUAAGGAUUGAAGAUGCAGGGUUGCCAAUAUUGGAGCUUAGAUGAUUGGGUUAAGGGAUGUAUGAACCUGUGCAGGUGAAGAGUGAGUUGAAGUUAUGGUGGUGAUGAAGAUGGAUUUAAUUGAGUAGUUUUUAGAGUUUCAGUUGUAUGAAUUUGUGGUGUUGGUGGUUUGAGAAGGUGUGUUGAAUACAAGAUGACUUGGUGGUGUUUUAAAGCUGAGAGUGUGGACUUGAUGACAUUGGUGCAGUUGAACUGAAAUAGAAAUGAGUUGCAGGUUGGGUGCUGCUGUUAUAGACUAGUUGGUGUGGCAAUGACAGGUGGUAAUAGUUUAGGAAGUUACAGAAUUUUGGAGAUGGUGACAAAAUUGGUUAGUUGAUGUUAUGAUGGUAUGAAGGAAGGUUUGAUAGAAUGUGAAGAAGCUAAGAAGAUGUUGAUAUGGAGAGUGCUGCAGUUGAGGAGGUGGUGUGUUGGCUUUGUCAGAAUGGUGGAUUGCAGGGAAGAGUCGGAUUAGUGAUGAAUUUGUGGAAGUCACCAGUGAAGCUGCAAAUUGUAAAUGUGUUGGUGGUUUUGGAAUGUAUGAAGCUUUUGAGAAGAACUGAAGUUAAUGAUGUUACAGUUGAAAGAUUAUUAGAAAUGGAAUUAGAAACUAGUUGUAGCUUAUAGAUUUGUGUAUAGCAGAAUGGUGUAUGUAGCUGUUUGUUUUU